rnacentral:sRNA from 12 species
GGUCCCCACUAAGGCAGUGUCAAAAGACUACGCCAAGGUGGGGGAAGGCUCAUCUCAGGGUGUGGCCAUGCCUUCUACUUCUGGUGCCGGGCGUCGGUCCGCCAGAGUGCAGCACAUUGCGGUGCCGCUCGGGGCCGAUGAUCUGGGGGCGA